rnacentral:rRNA from 1 species
GACGAACGCUGGCGGCGUGCUUAACACAUGCAAGUCGAACGGAAAGGCCCUGCUUUUGUGGGGUGCUCGAGUGGCGAACGGGUGAGUAACACGUGAGUAACCUGCCCUUGACUUUGGGAUAACUUCAGGAAACUGGGGCUAAUACCGGAUAGGAGCUCCUGCUGCAUGGUGGGGGUUGGAAAGUUUCGGCGGGUGGGGAUGGACUCGCGGCUUAUCAGCUUGUUGGUGGGGUAGUGGCUUACCAAGGCUUUGACGGGUAGCCGGCCUGAGAGGGUGACCGGCCACAUUGGGACUAAGAUACGGCCCAGACUCCUACGGGAGGCAGCAGUGGGGAAUAUUGCACAAUGGGCGGAAGCCUGAUGCAGCAACGCCGCGUGCGGGAUGACGGCCUUCGGGUUGUAAACCGCUUUCGCCUGUGACGAAGCGUGAGUGACGGUAAUGGGUAAAGAAGCACCGGCUAACUACGUG